rnacentral:rRNA from 1 species
GUCGAGGGGUAUAUGUCUUCGGAUAUAGAGACCGGCGCACGGGUGCGUAACGCGUAUGCAAUCUGCCUUUCACAGAGGGAUAGCCCAGAGAAAUUUGGAUUAAUACCUCAUAGCAUAAUCAAACCGCAUGGUUUAAUUAUUAAAGUCACAACGGUGAAAGAUGAGCAUGCGUCCCAUUAGCUAGUUGGUAAGGUAACGGCUUACCAAGGCUACGAUGGGUAGGGGUCCUGAGAGGGAGAUCCCCCACACUGGUACUGAGACACGGACCAGACUCCUACGGGAGGCAGCAGUGAGGAAUAUUGGUCAAUGGGCGCAAGCCUGAACCAGCCAUGCCGCGUGCAGGAUGACGGUCCUAUGGAUUGUAAACUGCUUUUGUACGGGAAGAAACACUGAUUCGUGAAUCAGCUUGACGGUACCGUAAGAAUAAGGAUCGGCUAACUCCGUGCCAGCAGCCGCGGUAAUACGGAGGAUCCAAGCGUUAUCCGGAAUCAUUGGGUUUAAAGGGUCCGUAGGCGGUCCUGUAAGUCAGUGGUGAAAGCCCAUCGCUCAACGAUGGAACGGCCAUUGAUACUGCAGGACUUGAAUUAUCAGGAAGCAACUAGAAUAUGUAGUGUAGCGGUGAAAUGCUUAGAGAUUACAUGGAAUACCAAUUGCGAAGGCAGGUUGCUACUGAUGGAUUGACGCUGAUGGACGAAAGCGUGGGUAGCGAACAGGAUUAGAUACCCUGGUAGUCCACGCCGUAAACGAUGGAUACUAGCUGUUGGGGGCAACUUCAGUGGCUAAGCGAAAGUGAUAAGUAUCCCACCUGGGGAGUACGAACGCAAGUUUGAAACUCAAAGGAAUUGACGGGGGCCCGCACAAGC